UAAAAGCAGGAGGUAAAGAAAUAGUCAAAUCAUAUAUCGCCUAACAGCACAGGGGGAGGGACAAUGAUUGGGAUAUAAAACCCAGGGAUUCAAACCGGGAGUGGGCAACCCCCUUUGGGUCCCCUCCCAUUGUAUGGGAGCUCUGUUUUCACUCUGUUAAAUCUUGCAACUGUACACUCCUCUGGUCAGUGUUUGUUCCGGCUCAAGCUGAACUUUUGCUCACCCUCUACCACUGCUGUUCCCCGUGGUAGCAGACCCGCCGCUGACUUCCACCCCUCCGGAUCCGGCAGGGUGUCUGCUGCGCUCCUGAUCCAGUGAGGCGCCCAUUGCCGCUCCUGACCGGGCUAAAGGCUCACUAUUGUUCCUGCACAGCUAAGUGCCCAGGGUCUGAAAAGAAAAGAGAAGCCAAAUUCAAAUAUUUAAGUGACUGUACAAGCUCACCCCAUUCUUCCACAUAUUCCAUUCCAACUUUUGUUCCACUGUGUCCUCACUUGCCAAGAUCACCAACAAAUUCAAGGCUGCUAACUCUGUGGCACUGAUGCAGGGAAUUAAGAUAAACCUCCUGCUGAAGAUGAUCAUCAGGAGAAAGUGAUUCUGACAAAUCAGUGAAAUGCAUAAAGAAAGGACAAAGAGACAGGACAUGUCACAAAAGAUUUUUUUGCGCUACGUCACCUCUGUGGGUUUUAAGAGCAUUUAUCAUUAUAGAUUGUAUUCAAGUGGAUAUUCUUAGACCACAUUCUUGAGGCGUUAUUAGUAUAAGAACCUGCCUAUGGGAGAAGUGGACCUACCAUGAAAGAAGGCGAAGCAUCAUGGAAGAGAAUUGAAAGCUGAAAUUCUGUCUGUUGGAGAACAUGGGGAGGAAAUCUGGAACACCCAAUCCAGCUGGUUUAGCCACCUAAUGAACCAUUCCAUUAGUAACUAAAGAUCUUUGCUUUGUUCAUGUUACCUGCAUUAGAACCUGAACUCCUUCAAAGAAAUUCUCUUUCUCUUGUUUCUAUAGAAACAAUGCUGCUAAAAUAUAUUACAUAUCAUUAAUAUUUUGAAGUCUAUGAUUAAUAAAUAUGAAAAAUAAUUAUUGAUGUUCAUUCUUAAAGCUUCACUGUAAACAUAACUGUCUUCAUGCUUCAUCAAUGUCCCUAUAUACCUCGCUUUUUUGAUAAUAAUGAAAAAGAAGUAGAGGUUGUAAAAGAAAGGUGAGGGUAGAAGAAAAGAGCAGAAAAGGGGAAAAAGGGAUUGGAAAGGGGAAGAAGGAGAGGGCACAAGAGGAAAGGUAGUGGGAGAGGAGGAAAGAGAAGAGAGGAGGAAAGGAGAAAGUGGUUUCUGAGGGAAGGAGCAUUGGAGGCCAUGAUUUUGACCCAAGGCUCAUUUGCAUACAUACCAUAAGGCCUUGGAGGCACGUGUCAUCAUUUAAAGGAUGGAGGGGAUGUCUUUAUUACAAGGUCACUAUGUAUAGAUGCAGUUGUGCAGUGAAAGUACUUAGAUGUUGAGAUGCCAUAAAUCUAAUAGCCCCUCCCCGCACCAGGCUUAAGAUGUAUGUUUUGGUGAGAAAUUUACUCCAAGCCAGGCUAAUGAAGGGAAAGCUUAGAGUGAAUGGGAAAGAGAAUAACAGGAAUGCCUCCUUGAUCACCACACCAGAUGUACGAUGCUGAGGAAGGCAUGAGAAGCCUAGAAAAGAGCUUCUGAGACUCUCAGAUGCUGGAAGGCAUCACUGGAACAGCUUCCCUCCUCAGGAAGCCAGAGUCAGCAGUGCAUUGUUUGGGCUCUGCUAGUUCCACAUGAGCCAGGAUAAGUAGCUUGGGAGGCGGCAGAGCUACAAGGUUUCCAGCACAAGUGGCUGCUGGUGGGGAACUCAGCUGGAACCACCAUGACCAGCUCCCUGGCUAGAGAGUGCAAGUGACCUAUGUCUUUGCCUGCAGCAGUUCCUGGGUAUCAGGGAGACUGGCCCACUCCCUCAGCAACAGGUCAGAAAAGAACUCAUCCUUGGAGGGAAGUUUCUAGGGAGGGAAGCCAAUGAGGAGGGCCCUUAUUUCUGUUUCUCCCUGGGUCUGCCCCUGGUGCUACAUAUCAGAGAAGAAAGACCCCCACGGGGUUGUGCAAAGAGGGCCAACAGAGCACCUCCAAUUUAUUCCAAGGGCAAAUGGCUAGAGGCACAGACAAAAAUGUUGGGCACCUGAGGGAAAAGGAUUUAAGGCCAGAGUUUGGCUUCAUUGAUGUCUGGCCCUCUUCAGGCCGAAAUUUGUGUACAGCUACUUCUAGCAGGGGUGAGAUCACCAGGAGA
rnacentral:lncRNA from 10 species